UUUACCGGUCCCAUAGUUUCCAAGUCAUUUCCUGGAAAGGAACUGAUGUGUAACUGUAAAUUCAAUGCACUGUUCCUGAAAAGAACUAUGUCAUUUGGAACUAAUUAUUGGGCCAAUGAGACCAUCUGGACUGGGCAUGCUUACAAUUAUUGUAC